rnacentral:lncRNA from 1 species
AGCAAGUCCAUCUGAGUCUUUAGAUGGGCCAUGUCUUGAUCUCGCUCCUUCUCUCUCCUGCAUUGUUUAGCAUAUAUACCAACAAAAAUAGUGGGGCUUGCUACCACAGACUCCCUGGUAUGCCAAGCCCAACUCUGUUUGAUCAUCCUAUUUAGCAUAUCUGAGGUAUCUUGAAAAGACAUAUCAACAAAUGAACCACCAGCAAUAUUAUCUACAAUUGGCUUUGUUACAGAGUUGAG